rnacentral:rRNA from 1 species
GAUGAACGCUGGCGGCGUGCCUAACACAUGCAAGUCGAACGAAAAGACGCGGAGCUUGUUCCUCUGACGUUAGCGGCGGACGGGUGUGUAACGCGUGGAUACCCCACCUAUAUUUCUGGGAUCACUUCGGGAAACCGGAGCAAAUACCGUAUGAUCUAUUGCACCGUAUGGUGCAAUAGUGAAUGUCGGCUUUUCUGUCUCUUCUCGCUGCUUACGCGCUGCAUUAGCUAGUUGGUCAGGUAACGGCUUACCAAGGCAACGAUGCGUAGCCGACCUGAGAGGGUGAUCGGCCACACUGGAACUGAGACGCGGUCCAGACUCCUACGGGAGGCAGCAGUAGGGAAUCUGCCGCAAUGGGCGAAAGCCUGACGGAGCAACGCCGCGUGAGUGAUGAAGGUCUUCGGAUCGUAAAACUCUGUUAUUAGGGAAGAACAAAUGUGUAAGUAACUAUGCACUUCUUGACGGUACCUAAUCAGAAAGCCACGGCUAACUACGUG